rnacentral:lncRNA from 1 species
GCCCUACCGCUCUUGAGAAGUUUAAAGGCGAACGUUAUUCCAAUCACCCAAGAAACUUUUCUGAAGUUCUUGGAGUUGGAAAGAACCGACGAUCUUUGCUAACUUGGUUACGAUCCUCGGCAAAUUUCUUCUAACCUGGAAAUUUCAGUUAAAAUACAAUUCUGCGGAAGGAAAGUUCAAAUGUCACCUGCUUCAGUGUUUCACGACAAAGGGUUUCAGUGACCACCCUUUUAAACGCAACGCCAUCACCGUCCGCCGGUACUGUGGCCUGUCCCUAUCACUCCUUUCUACUUUGCUUCCGUAGCUUCUGAGCAACCCGUGAAGAAAUUGACGGAAAACGGAAGGAAUUGCCGCCAGUUCCUUUCCACGGGCCGUCAAGGCCAAUAUAAGUCCCCACCCAGGCUCCUCUGCUCGUAACUUCUAGCACGAUUCCCACUGUAUUCGCCCAUGUUUCCCAAAAGAUCCCGACUCAGAUUGAAAAAGCAGAGGAUGGUCACUGCCUUCCAGGUCUGAGGCUGUCUCCCAGAAACUUCAUUCCUCGCUUCGCCUUGGAGCAGCCUCUUUCAUUCUCAGGAUGUGCACUCCUGAUAAACUGGGACCGUGAAGGAGGGACCUGAAGCUGCCCCAAACCACCUGCAGUUCCAUGAAGACCAUGCCUCCACCCACUAAUCACUCUGAAAGUUCUCCAUCACUUUCUGAGUCCUACAGGAGGAAAGUGCUAUUGAAGAUGCGGCGCGUAUGGCGUGAGGUUCUGGGGCUGGGAGAAGCUGCCCCACUACUUCCGGGCGGCCUUGCCUGCAGGGAGCAGAUCAGAGGAACCUGCUCCCUCCCCCCGAUCACGUGCUUUACUGCUCCCCAGUUCACAACCUAGUGCUGUCCACUUGCAUGGGAUGUUUCUUUUCCAUCACAAUGCUCUGAGAUAACUAAGUCAAGGGAAGUUUGUGCAGCCCUCCAGACCCUCCAGAUUUCAAAGGAAAGCCCACCGCUGCUGGUCUGGGGGAGCUGAUGGCCUACUCAUGGAUGAGAUGGACUAAGGACAGCGGGAAGCACAAUGGACCAACAGCAUUGUUGGAGGGGACUGCGUGAGGAAGCAGGAGCCUAAAUAACACUCUCCAGAUACUGCGUGAACA